rnacentral:lncRNA from 1 species
AUUUCAGAUAGCACUAUGCAGUCUGAAAAAUUAAGUUCAGACAGCAACAAACAAGAAAAUAGAAUGCAGUCUGGAAAUUCAAUUCCAGACAGCAGUCUGAUUAAAAAUGGGUAAUUUUUGUGACUUGCACACUUCAUAGAACUAAUGAAAGGAUUAACAUCUGAAAAUCUUAAUUUCCUAAUGCCCCGUACGGCAGUCUGAUUAAAAAUGGCAUUUCAAUUACAUGGACGUAAUAAAAUUUUGUCUUAACAGUUCUCAUUUAGAUUUUGGACCCAUAGCUAGCCAAAAUUGAUGUUAAUGUGCAAAAUUGAUAGAUGACCAUCAUGUUUCUAAGGAUGUAGAGAAGAUGGAAUAAUCUAACUGUUGUCUGAAUCAUGUUAUUCAAAAUUGAUUAGACAAUCUACGCAUUGUUCAGAUCAUAGUUUAUUGUGCAGAAUGAUGAAAUUUUUUUUAACAAUCAUGAAGUUUAUUCUUACAAUAAUGAGUGAAAAAUCAGUGGAAGAGUAUUCUUUAUGCCAAAUAAGCACACAACAAAACUAUUGUAUUAUUUUCUUUUAUAAAGAUAUUAUAAUUUUGCAAUAGUCCAAAUUUAUGCUAAUGCUGUAUUAAUUAUUAAAAUUCAAAAUUCAGAACAUUUAAAAAAUGAUGACACGAACUCCAUGUAAACUGGGCAAUUCCCUUCAUUUUAAUAAUGAAAUUUUUUAUUUGCUUUCAAAAAAUAGAUGAUGGCACGGCACAAAACUCAAGUUGCACCAUUUAUAAAUACUAUUUAGUUAUAAGUUAUAACUGACAUACAAUGAUCUCAGAUGCUUCAGUUUUCCAAUUUGUGGAGGAAUUGGUCCUGUCAAUUUAUUACUGUGAAGAUCCCUGACAUACGGAAAAAAUAGAAAAAAUAGAAAAAAUAAAUUAGAUAUUUACAAUCAAAUCUAUUAUCACUCAAUGAUGUGUCAAAUAAAUUUCUAAUAUUUGUGUUGAAUUUUCAAAAAUAUUUAAAUUUGAAGAUAAAGCAUGUAAUUUAAAAUUUCAACAUGGACGAUCAAACUCUUAAAGAGGCAUUUUCUGACUUUGGAGAAGUGACAGAGGGUAGGUGAAGUGAAUUUGUAUCUUUUAUAGCUCAUUUUGGUUGCACAACUUACCAAUCACACAUUGCCAAAAUCCAAUUUUCUACAACUAUUCUUCCAUCCAAGAUUGGAAUUCAUUAAUAAGAAAUCAUUUUAUUUUUAACUUCUUGCUUAAUUAUUAACAUAAAUUUGGUAACUUUACACAAGUUUAGUUCUAUAGAUCCAAUAUCCAUAUUUACAGAUGGUAUAACAUCAACUAAUAGAUAGAUAGACAGAUGGUAUGAGACAGUAAUUUACAGUUGGGCAAUAAAGGAUUUAUGAGUCAUUAAUGGAGAGAAUCAAUCCUCAAUCCCUUAAUUCCCACAACACUCCAGUUGUAAUUGCGUAUUGGGGAAAUACGCAAUUUUUUUCUUCUAAACUCUAAACUAUAUUGGGGGACAUGUACGUAUUGGGGAAAAUAGGUGAUGAUUUCUGGAUAUACUAGUUGAGAUUUUAAUUUCGGGAAAAGGAAAACCCAAAGAAUUUUGAAAUGGAAAGAAAGUGAAAUGGUAAACCUAAAUCGAUAUUGAUUAAACAUUGAAAAAAAUUCAGAACCCAAAGAUGGGUUGUGGAGUCUAACCUGAGUCGGAUGGAAGCCUAACCGAAGUCGUUGACGUUCGCCGGAUGGAAGCCUAAUCUUGCCGGACAGAACUGGAGAUGUAGCCGCAAGUUGCUCGCCGGACAGGAAUGGACGGGAGGUAUCAACGGGAAGUUGCUCGCCGGACAAGAAUGGACAAGAAACAGUGAAGGAAGUUGCUCGCUCCUCGCCUGAGAGGUUGGAAUCGCCGGACAGGAAGUAUCGUUGGGAGUAGGUUUGGGGGUUCAGGUUGAAAUCACGAUUUGGGGUUUUAGUAGUUUAGGUUUUUUAUUUAUUUAAAAUAUUCAUUUAAACUUAGUUGAUAACCAUUUAAAAUAAAGUUAAUAUAUAAUUGAAUUUUCGAAUUUAAAAUUUAUUAAAAUUUAAAAGUUAAUAUUAGAAAUUGAUAUUUUUUAUAAUUUUUAAAAAAUCACUAGUUGUUAAUUUUUAACUUUUUAGGAUAUAUAAUUUAAAAUAACAUUUAUAAAUGAAUUUAUAACUUCAAAUAACUUUUUAAAAUUUAAUUUUUCACUUUAAAUUUAAAAUAUCAAAAAUAACUUUAAUUUAUAACUUCU